rnacentral:rRNA from 1 species
AAGGAACUAACAAGGAUUCCCCCAGUAGCGGCGAGCGAAGCGGGAAGAGCGCGGUUUGAAAAUCUCUUCGGAGAAUUGUAUUCGAGUGUCCUUGGGUGGUCAGUGCGAGAAAGUCGCUUGGAAUGGCGCGCCAUGGAGGGUGAGAGCCCCGUCCAUCUCGCACAGGAUCCAUCCGCACGAGGGCACUUCAGCCGAGUCGGGUAGCUUGGGAAUGCUGCUCUAAUUGGUGGUAAAUCUCAUCAAAGGCUAAAUAACGGUGGGAGACCGAUAGCGAACAAGUACCGUGAGGGAAAGAUGGAAAGGACUUUGAAAAGAGAGUGAAAAGCACUUGAAACCGUCACGGGGGAAGCGGAUUGCGUGAGUGGUGGUGCUGUUCAGCGCGAUUUUUUUUUUUUUGCGUGUAUUCUGGCGGUGCCUCGUUGCUGUGGCUGGCUGGCGCGUGAUGGGUUUUCGGCCUGACGCGCUCGACUGGUGAGGGCUCUCCUAUUUUUUAGGGUUUCAGAGGACAGCAGCGAAAUGACGCAAUACGACCCGUCUUGAAACACGGACCAAGGAGUCUAGCACGCCUGCGAGUCGAAGAGUGUAAAAAACUCAAUAGGGCGCAGUGAAAGCGAAAUGAUAAGCAAAUUGGGGAGGCGCUGCGUUUUUAACAAAAUGUCCUACCUUGAGCACUUGUGCUGGGACCCGAAAGAUGGUGAACUAUGCCGGAGUAGGGCAAAGCCAGAGGAAACUCUGGUGGAGGCUCGUAGCGAUGCUGACGUGCAAAUCUCUCGUCGAACUUGGGUAUAGGGGCGAAAGACUAAUCGAACCAUCUAGUAGCUGGUUCCCUCCGAAGUUUCUCUCAGGAUAGCGGGCCGACACCGAUGUUGUUUUGUGCGGUAAAGCGAAUGAUUAGUGCAGUUGGGGGACGAAGUCCUUCGGGCGAUUCUCAAACUUUAAAUGCGCAAGGGAGUGGCUGCUUAAACACUGAGCCUACUCUCUGAAAAACGUCGGCCCUGUGGGCCACUUUUGGUAAGCAGAACUGGCGAUAAGGGAUGAACCUUAAGCGCGGUUAAGGCGCCGCAUUGCCCGCUUAUAGACCCCACAAAAGGUGUUGAUUCAUUUAGACAGCAGGACCGUGGCCNNNNNNNNNGGAAUCCGCUAAGGAGUGUGUAACAACUCACCUGCCGAAUGAAUUAGCCCUGAAAAUGGAUGGCGCUGAAGCGGGCAGCCGACACCGCGCCGUUCCGGCGAGUCGCGUGCCGGGAUGAGUAGGAGGGCGUGGCGGUCAGUGAAGCAGGCGAGGGUGCAGACCCCGCUGAAACGGCCGCUAGUGCAGAUCUUGGUGGUAGUAGCAAAUAUUCAAGCGAGAUCCUUGAAGGGCGAAGCGGGGAAGGGUUCCACGCCAACAUUGAUUGGGCGUGGGUGAGUCGUUCCUAAGCCGAGUGGCAAUUGCUAAGUAGCGGCGAAAGGGAAGCGGGUUAAAAUUCCCGCACACGGAUAUGGAGGCGGCGACGCAAGCAGAGGCGAAUACGCUGGCGAGGGCGCCGGGCAGAGUUGUCUUUUCUGUUUGACCGGCAUCGAGCUGUGUGGAAUCCGCUUAUCGGGAGAAACACGCUCGGGUAGGGGCAGAGCGUCAGGUCUUUUCUGGCGUCCGGCUCGCCCUCGACGGCCCCUGAAAAUUCGUCCGCGAUUUCUUUUCUUCCUCCCCGCACAAAGGGGUGGAAAGAGCAAAUUUCAUGCUGUGACGUACCGAUAACCGCAUCAGGUCCCCAAGGUGAACAGCCUCUGCUCAAUAUGAACAAUGCAGGUAAGGGAAGUCGGCAAAAUAGACCCGUAACUUUGGGAAAAGGGUUGGCUCUAGUGGAGCGGGGGUUUUCAAAGGGGGCUCACCUGUGCUUGUCGUGGGGCGGACAUGGCUAGCUUCCGCUGGACGUGACUGCUCCGCGCCUUGCGUGGGGGACGCUACUCGCCCUCAGCAUGCUCCAGACUAGAACUGCAACGGGCAAGGGGAAUCCGACUGUUUAAUUAAAACAAAGCAUUGCGAAGGCC